AUGAACGCUGGCGGCGUGCCUAAUACAUGCAAGUCGAACGAGUUCUCCCUAAUGAUCUUGAUGCUUGCAUUAAAAGAUUUAGGAUUCGGAACGAGUGGCGAACUGGUGAGUAACACGUGGGUAACCUGCCCUGAAGUGGGGGAUAACAUUUGGAAACAAAUGCUAAUACCGCAUAAUUAGUUGAAACCACAUGGUUUCAACUUGAAAGAUGGCUCUGCUAUCACUUUAGGAUGGACCCGCGGCGUAUUAGCUAGUUGGUGAGAUAAUAGCCCACCAAGGCGAUGAUACGUAGCCGACCCUGAGAGGGUAAUCGGCCACAUUGGGACUGAGACACGGCCCAGACUCCUACGGAGCAGCAGUAGGGAAUCUUCCACAAUGGACGCAAGUCUGAUGGAGCAACGCCGCGUGAGUGAA
rnacentral:rRNA from 1 species